ACGAACGCUGGCGGCGUGCCUAAUACAUGCAAGUCGAGCGGAACACUUGGAGCUUGCUCCAAGCGUUCAGCGGCGGACGGGUGAGUAACACGUGGGCAACCUGCCCUGCAGAUCGGGAUAACUCCGGGAAACCGGUGCUAAUACCGAAUAGUUUGCGGCCUCUCCUGAGGCUGCACGGAAAGACGGUUUCGGCUGUCACUGCAGGAUGGGCCCGCGGCGCAUUAGCUAGUUGGUGGGGUAAUGGCCCACCAAGGCGACGAUGCGUAGCCGACCUGAGAGGGUGAUCGGCCACACUGGGACUGAGACACGGCCCAGACUCCUACGGGAGGCAGCAGUAGGGAAUCUUCCGCAAUGGACGAAAGUCUGACGGAGCAACGCCGCGUGAGUGACGAAGGUUUUCGGAUCGUAAAACUCUGUUGUGAGGGAAGAACACGUGCCAACUAACUACUGGCAUUUUGACGGUACCUCACCAGAAAGCCACGGCUAACUACGUGCC
rnacentral:rRNA from 1 species